GGCUCAGGAUGAACGCUAGCGGCAGGCCUAAUACAUGCAAGUCGAACGAUAUUAAGGGGCUUGCUCCUUAAGAAAGUGGCGCACGGGUGCGUAACGCGUAUGCAACCUACCUUCAUCAGGGGGAUAGCCCGGAGAAAUCCGGAUUAAUACCGCAUAAAAUCACAGCACUGCAUAGUGCAAUGAUCAAACAUUUAUGGGAUGGAGAUGGGCAUGCGUGUCAUUAGCUAGUUGGCGGGGUAACGGCCCACCAAGGCGACGAUGACUAGGGGAUCUGAGAGGAUGGCCCCCCACACUGGUACUGAGACACGGACCAGACUCCUACGGGAGGCAGCAGUAAGGAAUAUUGGUCAAUGGAGGCAACUCUGAACCAGCCAUGCCGCGUGCAGGAAGACUGCCCUAUGGGUUGUAAACUGCUUUUAUCCGGGAAUAAACCACAUUACGUGUAAUGUGC
rnacentral:rRNA from 1 species